AUCAGCCGACGGUGAGCGACAGAUGUGGAUGUGUCUGAGUUUUGUCCACGGACGCUCACCUAGCAGAUUUUCAAGGCGUUUGUUACCAGGAAAGUCCCUCCCUUAAAGAGGCAUAGCAAUAGCAGGACAUGCCUCUGAAGAUUAUUUUGAUGAUUAAAUGGGAAAUGCCUUUGGAGCUCUCAGCAUAGGUUCUGGCAAUUGGUAGGCGCUCGAGUGACAACAUAAUUAUCGUUAUCAUAUUAUUUGUCAUAAAGACUACGUCUGAAUGACAGCAGCCACCUACUGCUAGGUGCCAGAUCCAGCACAUUUUACUACAAUUUAUUU